rnacentral:misc_RNA from 1 species
GAAAAUUUUAAAAUAUAAUUUCAUUCAACUACAGUUAGAGUUUUGCCUUUCUUGUUAGCAACCAAAUUCAAGUAACAUAUAACCAAUUUAAAUCAAUAUAAUACACAAACACUCAAUAUAUACAUAUAGGAAGUUUUUAAUCUGCUUACUGAUCUACCUUCAAGUUUAGAGAAGUCGUACAUUGCUGCUGCAUGUAAUGCCGUUUUACCAUUGGGGCCGCCAUAAGCCAGUGAUUGUGAAUUGGGAUUUCUUAAUAGUUCAAGAACUAUCUCUAUACGUCCAUUUUCAACAGCCAGGUAAAGCGGAGUUUCCCCGCAAUCAUUGGCAGAAUAUGCAAACUCAUCAGGAUCUUCAUAUCUCAUUAUUGCUUUCACAACAAUCAGACUUCUUUGAUAUCGUGCCGCCUCAUGCAAGGCCGUUUCUUUAUUUUUAUUUGUCAUCCUUAACAUCUUCCUUACUUCUUUUAUCCCAUUCGCUUCCCUCGCCCUUGGCUCUUCUCCGCUCUCUAUAUCUAUUUCUGGUGAAGCCUUUGCCUGCUCGAUUAGCGCUUCUGCUGCACCAGCAUGCCCGUACCUUGCUGCAAAGUGCAACGGAGUAUCACCGUGGACAUUGAACUUCAGUAACAGUGACGGACAAAUACCAAGCACCUGUUUUACAAACUCUGUGGAUCUUUCACUUAGAUAGGUAAGGUGGAUAUGCAAUAUUGUGUUUUUAUUUGGAGUCAGUAGGCUAUCAAGGGGGUGUUGAUAAU